rnacentral:rRNA from 1 species
AUUGAACGCUGGCGGCAUGCUUUACACAUGCAAGUCGAACGGUAACGGGGACUUCGGUCUGCCGACGAGUGGCGAACGGGUGAGUAAUAUAUCGGAACGUGCCCAGUAAUGGGGGAUAGCUCGGCGAAAGCCGGAUUAAUACCGCAUACGCCCUGAGGGGGAAAGUGGGGGAUCUUCGGACCUCACGUUAUUGGAGCGGCCGAUAUCAGAUUAGCUAGUUGGUGGGGUAAAGGCCUACCAAGGCGACGAUCUGUAGCUGGUCUGAGAGGAUGAUCAGCCACACUGGGACUGAGACACGGCCCAGACUCCUACGGGAGGCAGCAGUGGGGAAUUUUGGACAAUGGGCGAAAGCCUGAUCCAGCCAUGCCGCGUGAGUGAAGAAGGCCUGGUGUAAGCUCUUCAGGUGGAAGAAAGACGGAUGGGUUAAGUACCCUGUCCGGAUGACGGUACC